rnacentral:rRNA from 1 species
GAUGAACGCUGGCGGCGUGCCUAAUACAUGCAAGUCGAGCGAACAGACGAGGAGCUUGCUCCUCUGACGUUAGCGGCGGACGGGUGAGUAACACGUGGAUAACCUACCUAUAAGACUGGGAUAACUUCGGGAAACCGGAGCUAAUACCGGAUAAAAUAUUGAACCGCAUGGUUCAAUAGUGAAAGACGGUUUUGCUGUCACUUAUAGAUGGAUCCGCGCCGCAUUAGCUAGUUGGUAAGGUAACGGCUUACCAAGGCAACGAUGCGUAGCCGACCUGAGAGGGUGAUCAGCCACACUGGAACUGAGACACGGUCCAGACUCCUACGGGAGGCAGCAGUAGGGAAUCUUCCGCAAUGGGCGAAAGCUUGACGGAGCAACGCCGCGUGAGUGAUGAAGGUCUUCGGAUCGUAAAACUCUGUUAUUAGGGAAGAACAAAUGUGUAAGUAACUAUGCACGUCUUGACGGUACCUAAUCAGAAAGCCACGGCUAACUACGUG